GUGCAGCAGGCGAGAAUUUUUCUCAAUGGGGGAAACCCUGAAGGAGCGACGCCGCGUGGAGGAUGAAGGUCUUCGGGUUGUAAACUCCUGUCAUUUGAGAACAAGGUGCACAUGUUAACUGCAUGUGCAUUGAUAGUAUCAGAAGAGGAAGGGACGGCUAACUCUGUGCCAGCAGCCGCGGUAAUACAGAGGUCCCAAGCGUUGUUCGGAUUCAUUGGGCGUAAAGGGUGUGUAGGUGGCGCCGUAAGUCGGGUGUGAAAUCUCGGGGCUUAACUCCGAAACUGCAUUCGAUACUGCGGUGCUUGAGGACUGGAGAGGAGACUGGAAUUCAUGGUGUAGCAGUGAAAUGCGUAGAGAUCAUGAGGAAGACCAGUGGCGAAGGCGGGUCUCUGGACAGUUCCUGACACUGAGACACGAAGGCCAGGGGAGCAAACGGGAUUAGAUACCCGCGUAGU
rnacentral:rRNA from 1 species